CAAUCAGGCAGUCUUUAACAUCCAGCUUCGUCUGGACGACAUUUUAGUAAAAUUCUGAAAUUCUGUAGAUUUGUAAUCAAAAUGUCGACUUAUAUCGACUAUAGACGUGUCUUAUACACGUGUUCUUGCGGGACCGAAGAGCCAAUAUGUCGUUUAUAUUUCUGCCGUCAUUGCAUGAAGCUCAGAUGUGGACAUUGUGUGUCGCAUGAGGUGGAUUCCCACUACUGCCCAAACUGUUUAGAAAAUAUGCCAAUAGCUGAAGCCAAAGCUAAGAAAAACAGGUGCGUUAAUUGCUUCGACUGUCCCAGUUGUCGUCAUACCUUGUCCACACGUGCAACCAGCAUUGCUGUGCCUGACCCCCAGGAUGCAACUAAGACCACCCCCAAGAAGGUGUACUAUUUGGCUUGUGGCUUCUGUAGAUGGACAUCACGGGAUGGUGGUAUUCCUGACCAGCAGAUAGCUAGUGGAGGUUGGCAAGAUCAGAUCAACAAAGAGGAAGCUGCUAUUGCUGCAACUAUGGAAUAUUACAAACAACUGGCCUCUAAGGAGAAGAUAGAAAAAGACAGGAAGAAAUAUAGAAGGAGGAGUUAUCUACACUUCUCUGACAAGUUUGGCUUAUCAUCUGCAGCUGCCCGUAGGAGAGCUGGCCUGAUGAACCUGGCUUCUAUGAGCCUGAAGGAAGGUGAAGAGAUGGAAGUUGCAGAGCCAGAGAGGACUGAGGCCACAGAUCAAUGGGAACCUCUAGAUGAUAGCAUCUACACAGAGCCUCUUAACCUUGCCACAGUCACCAGUGUAAAGCAGAGGCUAGCAUCUGUAGAAUUCCAACCAGCAAAUACAGGAGACUUAUACCCAAGCCAUAAGCAUCUGUUGAUCAAGCGAUCCCAAAGAUGUAGGCAAUGUGAACAUAAUGUCAGCAAACCAGAUUUCAACCCUUCCUCCACUAAGUUCAAGAUUCAGCUGGUUGCUCUACACCAUGUGCCAGAAGUGCGUCUAAUGUCUAUACCUAACAUGAUAUUUGACCAGCCAAGCCAGGUGAUCCUGACCCUAGCCAACCCAGUAGACUACAUCACUCAUGUCACUCUAUUGCCAAACUGCAAAGAUGAUGCUGAAGCUGACACUGGCAAGAUUGAGCUCCCAAUCUGUGAGUUGACUCUGGCUCCACUUGAUAGCACAGGUGACUUUGAUGACACAGCUGAGAUACCGGAUUAUGAUGAUGACCCCAAGAUUGUAACUUUCCGUAAGGCCAAUAAGAUAGGAUUCUUUGUAAAAGUGACACCCAAGAAAGCAGUUGGAGAUGUAAAGGUUUCCUUCCUGAUGAAAUAUGACUCUAGGUGUAUGCCUGCCCUUCUACCCACUGAUGACAAGGAAAGUCCUGUUUGGCUUGAACAUACAGUGCAUCUUAAUCUAGGACCUUUGAACUCAUAAACAAUCAUCAUGCAUAGAUAUAUAUUACCUGAGUGCUAGUAUCUCACAAUAAAUUGGGCAAGAACAUGCUGAACAUUGUACAUUCUCGCAUAGGAGCAUUAUAUACAAGACAAGAUACUACUGACUAUAACAGUAUGUCUUUGGCCAUUGCGGAAAGUGUUCCUGUACACAGGUUUUACCACAUACGUAAACAUCACCAUUUGGGGAACCCUUAUCCCAAGAAAUUACUCUCAAUUGAUUAUAGCAUUUUCUACAAAUACCCAUUUCACAACAUCUUCAGACUAGCUGUACAUAAAUCUUAAAAUAAGUGAGCAAAGCUCAUAGGAGAUGACAUAGCUACUGUCUUUUAGAACAUAAAUCAAAAUAUACCACCCUGUAGGAGUUUACAGCAGCUUUCAUUGUUAAUAAAGCUUAUGUAACAGAUUGGAUUGGAGAACUUUGAGAAUAUAGCCUGACAUUUAGUGGAAUGUAACCAUUGCUUGAUAUUACCUUAUUGUUAUAUAACCAGGUGUAAGAUUAACAUUAUAUAUAACUAAAUGUACUUGUAGCAGUAAAACUGAGUUUACAUAAAGUUGGUUUAGUGAUCUUUCAUGUGCAAUAUUUAUUAUCACUUUGUUUAUUAUAAUAUGUAACGUUUGCACUUUAACCGGGAAUUAGGAUAGAGCUUGUGAUAUGAAUGGACAAGCUUGAUAUAACUGAUAAUAUAGGAUUUGGCUAAGACAUAGACUUUUCUUGAGAACAUUGUCAACAUAUGUAUGUUUGCGGAGAUAAAAUAAUAAAGAUUUGAUGAAAAUUA
rnacentral:misc_RNA from 1 species